rnacentral:rRNA from 1 species
GACGAACGCUGGCGGCGUGCCUAAUACAUGCAAGUCGUGCGGACCUUGUUGAAAGCUUGCUUUUAAAAGGUUAGCGGCGGACGGGUGAGUAACACGUGGGCAACCUGCCUGUAAGACUGGGAUAACGCCGGGAAACCGGGGCUAAUACCAGAUCGUUUUUUCCUCCGCAUGGAGGAAAAAGGAAAGGCGGCUUCGGCUGCCACUUACAGAUGGGCCCGCGGCGCAUUAGCUAGUUGGCGGGGUAAUGGCCCACCAAGGCAACGAUGCGUAGCCGACCUGAGAGGGUGAUCGGCCACAUUGGGACUGAGACACGGCCCAAACUCCUACGGGAGGCAGCAGUAGGGAAUCUUCCGCAAUGGACGAAAGUCUGACGGAGCAACGCCGCGUGAGUGAAGGAGGCCUUCGGGUCGUAAAACUCUGUUGCCGGGGAAGAACAAGUGCCGUUCGAACAGGGCGGCGCCUUGACGGUACCCGGCCAGAAAGCCACGGCUAACUACGUG